UUAGUGCUUUCCACCAUUGACCAAAGCUGCGCUAUGCUUCUAUUUCACACAUAGUGCUUUCCACCAUACUAAACUUCUCCUCACUGCACUGACCAAAGCUGCGCUAUACGGCUAUAUAAGCAAGCACUUCACACCGAAUGCGAUCAUUUCUUACAGCUCGCCGAACAGGACGGUCAGACAGCAGAAAGCAAUAAUAGGCGGGGUACGCGACCGUAGUCUCCGUUGCGCUGCGAUACAGGGACAUCACAGCUGCGCUGCCUCGAACAGCGUCACGAUCGCAGCCCGCACACUAGUGCACCGACACAAUACCUGCGCUGCCUGGAACAGCGUCAGUACCCCUGCUUGCACACGAUAGUGCACCGUUACCUGACUAACGCGAUGAACAGGCGACUCGCAGGAGAUCCCGUAAACGCUGC